CCAGAUAGCCAUCAACAAACCCUAACCCUAACAAAAACCUAUCCGCUUCUAUCCUCACCUUCUUGUCCAAAAUUUGUGCUUCCAAAAAUGGCCAACGCCUGUAUGGCCAUGAGAAACCUGCUUUCUCUUGCACAAAAACGUUUCUUCAACACAUCUGUUAUACUUCCCACUGCUUCAUCAUCAUUUACUGCUGAAUAUCUCAUCAAGACAUGCGGGCUUCCUUUACAACCAGGCCUUUCAGUUUCCAAAAAGCUCCAAAUCGAUGAAAAUAACCUCCAAAACUCGCAAGCUGUAGUAGAAUUCCUUAAAUCUCACCAUUUUAAGGAUGCCCACAUCGCCAAAAUGGUCCAAAAGUGUCCUGCUGUCCUCCGUUGCAAAGUUGAGGACAAUCUGGAGCCCAAAUUUGACUUCUUCAUUAAAAAUGGAUUUGAGGGUCAACUUCUGCCCCAAAUUCUGAUGUCGGAUCCGAGAAUUUUGGUAUGCAGAUUAGAUACUCGCAUUAAGCCAUGUUUAGAACUUUUGAAGCCAUUUCUUGGCAGUAAUGAGAAUAUCAUAGCUGUUCUUAAGCGUGCUUCGUGGUUAUUGACAUAUAGUUUCAAGUCAUGUGUGCAACCAAAUAUUGAUUUCCUGAUUAAAGAGGGGUUGCCUCUUGAUAAGAUGGCAAAACUGUUAAUGUCGUACCCAAGAACCAUACUAAUUAAGCAUGAUAGGAUGGUUUCUGCAGCAAAUUAUCUUAAGAAUUUGGGGCUUGAACCGAAGGCUCCUAUGUUUAUCCACGCUUUUAGGGUGAUGGUACAAUUGAGCGAACCAACUUGGAAGAAGAAAAUUGAGGCUUGGAAGAGCGUUGGCUGGAGCGAAGGGGAGAUUUUGGGGACUUUUAAGCGAUUCCCGUUUCUUUUAUCAUGCUCAGAGGAGAAAAUCAACUGCAUGAUGGAUUUCUUUGUGAAUACAGUGAAGCUGGGACACCAAACUAUUACUGCAAAUCCCUCAAUUUUCAAGUAUUCGUUUGAUAAGAGGAUUUAUCCGAGGUAUAAUGUUUUGAAGGUUUUGGAGUCAAAGAAGCUAAUUAGAGUCAGGAAGACUGCAACUUUCUUAAAAAUAAGCGAGGAGAAGUUCUUGGAGAAUUAUAUUACCAAGUACGAGGGCAAAGUUCCUGGUUUAUUGGAGAUAUAUGGGAGCAUUAGAAAAACGAAGGGACUAUAACUUGAUGGCAAAAUACUUUGGCUUCAAAAUAGCAGGGGUGUUGGAUAUGAAGAAGUUCAUGGCCAAUUAGCUCUCUUGCUGGUGCAUAUGAAAUACUGGCGGGUCACUGUCAUACUCAGGAACUCAGGAAGCUGGUCUCAAAUACUCAACAAUAAGGUUGUUUGGGAGAGGCAAAAUCUAUACUUCCGGCAGGGUUUCAAACUGCAGCAAUGCAGUUAGAUACAAACUAUGUUACAAGCGUGAUUCCAGAAGUGUAUAAUUAUCUAAACAGUUGUAUUUCCUUUCCACGUUGGAUUAUGUGGAUUUGGGAGGUGAUGUUUUCUUGUAAUCAUACUGCGUAUCAGAUUUGCAUCCUUUUUGGGAUUUUUUGGAUGGUUUAUUUGCCAUCAGUGGCAGAUAAAGUGAGAGAAUGCAAGAUGUUUUAUUCUAGUGGAAAUAAUUGAGAGUUAGAAGAGAAACAUAGUUUUCUUCUUCAAUUUACAUUCAAGAUUACAUUUUCUCAAGGUAAGUUUUUCCUUUAAAUAAUUAUUAAAAUGUAAAAAUCAGGGCAUUAUAAUCUAUAUUUAAUUGUUCAUAUUUACAAUUAAAGACUUGCAUACAUAUUGCCCUUGAUCUCUCAUCGAAUGAACGACUACCUUUCCUUGAUGCAAUCAUUCUGCCAUUAUGAGUUCUAUUUGUGUGCCCCUUCUUCAAUUCCUUUCCAUCUCUUAAACUUUAAAGCUCAGUUGGCGACAUGAGCACUUCAUCUUCUGGGAUUCGCGAGCUUCAGAAGCAGUUUUCUUGAAGUGAUAAACUUCAGUCCUAUGCUAUAGUAAAGACUAUGCAGUUGAUUGUUCCAUGUUUUCCAAGGAGCUAGAUGGAGGUUCUUCAACAAGUAAUAGUGGGGGCAGAAAGCAAGUAUGUUGGUUUUGUUAUGGUGAGAAACUGCAUGGUCACUGGCAUUGUAGCUUUUAGGGAGCUGUUAUUCAUUGCAGAUGUGUGCUUUAGAAUCGUGUUGGAGAAGUCCUCUUUUUAUUAACACAUACACACAUAUAUAUACAUUUGUAAUGUAUAGGAAAUACAUUGAAUCUCAUACAAAAACUCGGCAUGAUAUUUAUGUGCUGAAUUCUCA